AGAGUUUGAUCCUGGCUCAGAAUGAACGCUGGCGGCGUGCUUAACACAUGCAAGUCGAACGUGAAAGUCCUUCGGGAUGAGUAAAGUGGCGAACGGGUGAGUAAUACGUAAGAAUCUGCCUUUCAGAGGGGGAUACCCUAGAGAAAUUUAGGUUAAUACCGCGUGAUCCCAGAAAUGGGUAAAGAUGGCCUCUUGCCAUCGCUGAGAGAUGAGCUUAUGGACUAUUAGCUAGUUGGUAGGGUAAAGGCCUACCAAGGCUGAGAUGGUUAGCCGGCCUGAGAGGGUGUACGGCCACAAUGGGACUGAGAUACGGCCCAUACUUCUACGGGAGGCAGCAGUGGGGAAUAUUGCACAAUGGGCGCAAGCUUGAUGCAGCGACGCCGCGUGAAGGAAGAAGGCUUUCGAGUCGUAAACUUCUGUUAAGUGGGAAGAAAGAGUGCCGAGUAAUAUGCGGCAAAGAUGACGGUACCACUAGAGAAAGCACCGGCUAACUUCGUGCCAGCAGCCGCGGUAAUACGAAGGGUGCAAGCGUUAUUCGGAGUUACUGGGCGUAAAGAGCGUGUAGGCGGCUUGUUAAGUCUACUGUUAAAUUACUUGGCCUAACCAAGUGUGAGCAGUGGAAACUGGCGAGCUUGAGUGUAAGAGAGAAGAGUGGAAUUCUCGGAGUAGCGGUAAAAUGCGUAGAUCUCGAGAGGAACACCGGUAGCGAAGGCGGCUCUUUGGCUUACAACUGACGCUCAAGCGCGAAAGCGUGGGGAGCAAACAGGAUUAGAUACCCUGGUAGUCCACGCUGUAAACGA
rnacentral:rRNA from 1 species